rnacentral:ncRNA from 2 species
GAAAUCGGUGUGAAUCCGAUACUGACCCGCAGCCGUGAAAGCGAGCCCGCUUAAGACGGACCA